rfam:Pichia sorbitophila strain CBS 7064 chromosome G complete sequence.
GGAAGAUGAUUUUAGAUGACGAGUCAGAAUCGGGAUGCCCGUUGAUGACACCCAUAUUUUUUUACCAUUCAUGCAUUUCUGAAU